AAUAUUGGAGAAUGGGGGCAACCCUGAUCCAGCCAUGCCGCGUGAGUGAAGAAGGUCUUCGGAUGGUAAAGCACUUUAAGAUGGGCGGAAGGGCGUUAGGUUAAUACCGUGAAGCGUUGAAGUUAUUAACAGAAUAAGCACAGGCUACCUCUGGGCAAGCAGCCUCCGUAAUACAGACGGUGCAAGCGUUAAUCGGAAUUACUCGGCGUAAAACGCGCGUAGGUGGUUCAGUAAGAUGGGUGUGAAAACCCCGGGCUUAACCUGGGAACUGCUUUCAUAACUGCUGAGCUAGAGUACGGUAGAGGGUAGUGGAAUUUCCUGUGUAGCGGUGAAAUGCGUAGAUAUAGGAAGGAACACCAGUGGCGAAAGCGACUACCUGGACUGAUACUGACACUGAGGUGCGAAAGCGUGGGGGGCAAAC
rnacentral:rRNA from 1 species